AGAGUUUGAUCCUGGCUCAGAACGAACGCUGGCGGCGUGCUUAACACAUGCAAGUCGAGUGCGCGUCUGUAGCAAUACAGAUGGCGCACGGCGCACGGGUGCGUAACACGUGGGCAAUCUGCCCUUCGAUGGGGAAUAUCUUCGGGAAACCGAAGCGAAUUCCGCAUAACAUUCCUUGGACUGCGGUUCGAGGACUCAAAGCCGUAAGGCGUCGAAGGAGGAGCCCGCGCACGAUUAGCUAGUUGGUAGGGUAACGGCCUACCAAGGCUUUGAUCGUUAGCUGGUCUGAGAGGAUGGCCAGCCACACUGGAACUGAGACACGGUCCAGACUCCUACGGGAGGCAGCAGUGGGGAAUCUUGCACAAUGGGCGAAAGCCUGAUGCAGCGACGCCGCGUGGGGGAUGAAGCAUCUCGGUGUGUAAACCCCUUUCGACCCGGAAGAAUGCCUCGCAAGAGGACUGACGGUACGGGUAUAAGAAGCCCCGGCUAACUACGUGCCAGCAGCCGCGGUAAGACGUAGGGGGCCAGCGUUGUUCGGAAUUACUGGGUGUAAAGGGUUCGUAGGCGGUGUGGCAAGUUGGGAGUGAAAUCUCUGGGCUCAACCCAGAGGCUGCUUCCAAAACUGCUGUGCUUGAGUGUGGGAGAGGCGCGUGGAAUUGCAGGUGUAGCGGUGAAAUGCGUAGAUAUCUGCAGGAACACCCGUGGCGAAAGCGGCGCGCUGGACCACUACUGACGCUGAGGCACGAAAGCUAGGGGAGCAAACAGGAUUAGAUACCCUAGUAGUCC
rnacentral:rRNA from 1 species